UUGAUUGAUCUGAGAAUUAAUGCAGCAAAAACCCAGUCAGAAUGGGAUGAGGUUUAUAUUGAAAAUAGGAUAGAACCAAGUCAGUCUUUAGCUGAACUUCCUACACAUGCAUAGUUUCAAAGGACAUAUUCUUUUAUGUGGUCUCAAUGGAGUAUUUUCAGAUGGUGUCAGUUAGGUAAAGAUGAUAUGAUUUAGUUCAUUCAAGAACCAAAUUAUUCUUAUAUUGGUGCUCUAUGAUCGAUCAUAAUCAAUAAACAUACAAUAUUCAGUGAUGACAAGUGCAAGCUAUUGCACAGAAUUUGAUUUAAGGGUGUGUUUGGUAUGAUGGAAAACAUUUUCUAGAAAAUGUUUUCCAAUUUUCUCAUGUUUGGUUGGCACAAAAGUUUUGGAAAAUGUUUUCCAAAUCAACUCAUUUUCCUCGAAAUUAAGGAAAAUGACCCUUCAAAUAUUAAGGAAUACAUUUUCCAAAACUCUCCUCCAACUUCAACAAAAGGGUCUUACUGAACUUUUGGGGUUAGACUAUGAAGUUCAAUACAAAAAGGGUGCAGAAAAUAGAGUUGCUGAUGCACUUUAAAGACAACAUGAGAUAUGUAAGGACGAUUCUGACCAAGUCACCGGGAAAUUAUUGACAAUCAGUGUCACAGUUCCUAGGUGGAGGUAGGAGAUAGUUAUGUAGAUGAUGACCUUGCUCAAGAGUUCAUGGUGCAGCUUGCGGUGGACUUAAAUGGUCCUACUAUUUGGCAAUUCACUUCUGGUGUUCUGAGAAAUAAGAGGAAGAUUUAUGUAGGUGGUACUGGAGAUUUAAGGCAAAGGCUGAUCUCUACAUUCCAUGAUUCUCCGAUGGGUUGUCACUCUGGGCAGUUGGGUACUCUAAAGAGGUUGGCUUCACUGUUUAAUUGGCCCAACAUGAAACAAAUGGUGAUGCAACAUGUUGAGAGUUGUGAUGUAUGCCACAGGAAUAAGGAUGAGAAUGUCGCAUACCCAGGGCUACUGCAACCUCUACCAAUUCCUAAUCAGACUUGGAGUCAUAUCAGCAUGAAUUUUAUAGAAGGAUUGCUGAAAUCCAGCUCCAAAGAUGUGAUAUUAGUUGUAGUGGAUAGGCUAUCAAAGUAUGCUCAUUUUGUUGCCUUGUCCCAUCCGUUUACUGCAGCCACUGUAGCUAACAAGUUUUGGAAGAAGGUACACUGCUUACAUGGUACUCCCGAGUCCAUUGUAUCUGAUAGGGACAAAAUUUUUCUCAGCAACUUUUGGCAAUCCUUAUUCAAACUAUUGGGUACUCAACUACACUUAAGCACUGCUUAUCACCCACAAAGUGAUGGUCAGACUGAGAGAGUGAAUAGGUGCAUUGAGAACUAUCUGCGGUGCAUGACAUCGAACAGACCUAUUCAUUGGAGACAGUGGCUUCCUUCCGCUGAAUGGUGGUACAACACGAAUUUUCACAUUGGACUGCAGAGUACUCCAUUUGAGGCUCUUUAUGGUUAUUCAUCACCCCAACUAUCUGUUGGACCCCUGCUUGAGACUGUUGUUCCUGCUGCUGAAGAUGUUGUUAUGCAGCGACAACAAAUGUUACAACUUUUGAAGGACAACCUCCAUAAGGCUCAAGAAAGAAUGAAGGUGUAUGCCGAUAAAAAGCGAUCAGAUAGAGUGUUGCAGGUGGGUGACGUGGUUUACCUUAAACUUCAACCAUACAAUCAGACCUCUCUUGCUUUACGGAAGAAUUUGAAGUUGAGUUCAAAAUACUAUGGUCCCUAUACAGUCUUAGCCAAGGUAGGCAUUGUUGCCUACAAGUUACAGUUACCACCCUCUUUUAGAGUGUAUCCUGUAUUCCACAUGUCCCUCUUGAAGAAGAAGAUAGGAGAUAAGAGGGUAGCUCAAACUGUUCUACCUGCUACUGGUGCAGACGGUCAAUUCUUGGUGAAACCAGUUGCUGUCCUUCAGAGACAAAUGGUGAAGCAUAACAAUAGGGCCAAGGUGAAAGUGCUCAUAACUUGCCUCCUGAAGAUGCUACUUGGGAGGAUUACGAGUUCAUACAAGCACAGUUUCCAGAUUUUAUUCUCAAUCCUUGAGGACAAGGAUGUUGUGCGCUUCAAUCUUGUCAUGAUUAGCUAAUCUCAUAUUCAGUUAUCAAGAGUAACGGUCAUGAUUAGAAGUUAAUAAAUGAAGCGCAAAGGCUAGGAUUGCGCCACGUCGGUAACAUCCACAUCAGCUCAAGUCACAGUUAAAAAGCAACCACCAAGAGAGAGAAGAGACAUUGAUCAAAUUGGUAUUAUUCUCGUGCUCUCUUCUCUCUCUUCUAUCAGAUUCUCUUCUCUUUUCUUCAUCUUCCUAAUCUAAACAUUCCGUUGCAUGAUCGGAGCUCUGUCCAUUUAGGUUUACUAUCUUAGUUUCUAGUGUCUUUUAUUUCCUUCUAGUUCUGUACAAUUUCAUUUGAAUGAAAACAGAAAAUUGUUCCAAAAAGAGAAUCGUUCCGUCGUAGUUACAUUUCGUUGAAUUAUAUUUCCUAUAUUGAGGUCAGAUCGUGAAAAAUCUCUCAAUGGAACUUUUCCACUCUAGCAUCUUCCUUCCAUAUAAAUAGGAUCCCCAAACUUCAAGUACCAAUGGAAGCCCUUGUGCAUGUGUUACCACACUUUCAGAGAGCUCCACAAAGUCUUCUGGAGGGAGGGAGGGGAUUAUUGAAAGCUUGCCAAGAGAAAAACUGUAGACUUUCACUUGACCUCAUAUUUUACAUCACCUGUCAGCAAGUGUUUGUCCCCUGGUGGUAAUGAUAAUUCUACUGCCAGGACCAAACCAAUUCUUCCCUCCCACUAAUGAGUAUAUUUGCUUGAGAUCAACAACGCCGUCAAGGAUUGAUGACAUCAAUUGAAUUCCAUGGUCCACACUGCUGACUUCAACUCUUUUCCUGAGAAGCUUUUCUUGCAAAGCUACCAAACCGCUAUCCCCACUUGAAGCUCGAGAUUCAACAUGAAGAAAGGAGCUACCAUCAAAAUUUGGUUGAAGAUGGCUUUUGCUAAGCUGAAGCCGCCUUGAUGUUUUGUUUGAGUUUGAAUUCUGAAUUACACAGCAUGUUCUGUCCAAGAGACGAUGGAUCAGACUCUUCGCUUUCUUAUUUCUUUACUGGUAGAGAGAGGUUGGACAGAUUUGCACUAUGCUGCUGGUUGAAGAUUCCGCAGCAAGGGCAGUUCAUCCAGUAACAGGUUUUCCAGGAUAUAAGCUACUUGAAACUGACAUGAUUUUUGAUGUUGAUCAAGAAAAUGAAAUCAUUGCGCAUAUGGUCUUUAAACAGUAGGCCUAAGUUCCAUCCUGUACUGUUAUAUUCUCGACUGGUGAUUAAAUAUUACUAUGACUGAGUUUUGUUCUAUGCUUGCUCCUGCCAUUUUUAUGCUUCUUGCUUUCCUUUGAUGUUACUACUGUUACGUAUUCUGGGCUUAAUGAUGUUUUUCUUGUU